UGGGAUGUAGCUCAACUGGCAGAGCGACGGACUCUGACUCCGUAGGUUCUAGGUUCGACCCCUAGCAUCCCAGCCA
rnacentral:tRNA from 2 species